AACGAACGCUGGCGGCAGGCCUCAAACAUGCAAGUCUAGGGGGUGCAGCAAUGCAUCACCGGCGGACGGGUGCGUAACGCGUGGGAAUAUACCUUUUGGUUCGGAACAACUGCGGGAAACUGCAGCUAAUACCGAAUGCGCCCUAACGGGGAAAGAUUUAUCGCCAAAGGAUUAGCCCGCGUAGGAUUAGCUAGUUGGUGAGGUAAUGGCUCACCAAGGCUCCGAUCCUUAGCNGUUCUGAGAGGAAGAUCAGCCACACUGGGACUGAGACACGGCCCCAGACUCCUACGGGAGGCAGCAGGUUGGGAAUCUUGGACAAGUGGGGGAAA
rnacentral:rRNA from 1 species